rnacentral:rRNA from 1 species
AUACGGAGGGUGCAAGCGUUACUCGGAAUCACUGGGCGUAAAGCGCGCGCAGGCGGCCUGAUAAGUUGGAUGUGAAAGCCUACGGCUCAACCGUAGAACUGCAUCCAAAACUGUCAGGCUAGAGUGUGGGAGAGGAAGAUGGAAUUAGUUGUGUAGGGGUAAAAUCCGUAGAGAUAACUAGGAAUACCAAAAGCGAAGGCGAUCUUCUGGAACAGUACUGACGCUGAGGCGCGAAAGCGUGGGGAGCAAACAGGAUUAGAUACCCCAGUAGUCC